GGAAAUGUUGCUGUGUUUGCCAAUGGGGUUCUUCAUUGGGAAGGAUGUUAUGAUUAUGUUUCGGGUGGUGUUUCGUCGGAGAUUGUUACGUUGGAUUUGGCUAAAGAGAGAUAUGGGAGGAUAGCUCUGCCUAGGUAUGAAGGUGGAGGUAUUCAUUGGACAUUAGGUGAAUCGAGAGGGCGUUUAGUUGCUUGUUGCAAUUAUGAAUCAGAUAAGGCAGAUAUGUGGGUGUUGAAGGAAUAUGGUGUAGAGAAAACAUGGACUAAAGUGGUUACCAUUUCAUCACCGGAUGAUCGUAGAGUUAGUAUCUCGCCGUUGUUUGUGGCAGAGAAUGGUGAUGAGGUUCUGGUGAAGCUUGGCACAGAGGUGACACUGUACAAUUCAAGGAAUGCAUCAUUCAAGCGAAUUGCCGAUUAUGUGUCUAUGGAUGAUUUUCUUCAAGUUCAAGUGACUACCUACUUAGAGAGCCUUGCUUCACCUCAUAUUUAGUGACCUGAUGGUAAAUGAUCUCCCUGAUUGCCAGGUGCUCUGUUUUCGAAUUUGUUGAUAAUUUGUGUCAUGUCAUUGCCUUUUUGUAUAUUUUCAUAUCUUGUACAGGUGCUAUAAAUAUCAUGUUCAAUUGGAGUUCUAUGUUUGUAUACAACUCAUAUCUUGCAUCAUGUUGUUACGCAAUCCUUGAAUCCACUAAAGAU
rnacentral:misc_RNA from 1 species